rnacentral:rRNA from 1 species
GACGAACGCUGGCGGCGUGCUUAACACAUGCAAGUCGAACGGAAAGGCCCUGCUUGCAGGGUACUCGAGUGGCGAACGGGGGAGUAACACGUGGGUGAUCUGCCCUGCACUUCGGGAUAAGCUUGGGAAACUGGGUCUAAUACCGGAUAGGACCGCACUUUAGUGUGUGUGGUGCAGAGUUUUUUCGGUGUAGACUGAGCUCGCGGGCUAUCAGCUUGUGGGGGGUGUUAUGGCCUACCGAGGCGGCUACGGGUAGCGGGCCUGAGAGGGUGGACGGCCACAUUGGGACUGAGAGAAGGCACAAAUUCCUACGGGAGGGAGCUGGGGGGAAGAUUGAACAAUGAGCGCAAGGCGGGUGCAGCGAGGCCGCGUGGGGGAUGAAGGCCUUCGGGUUGAAAACUCCUUUCGCAAGGAACGAAGCAUGUUGUGACGGUACCUAGAUAAGAAGCACCGGCUAACUACGUG